rnacentral:rRNA from 1 species
CGGGGUGGAGUAAUGUCUGGGAAACUGCCUGAUGGGAGGGGGAAACUGCUGGAAACGGUAGCUAAUACCGCAUAACGUCGCAAGACCAAAGAGGGGGACCUUCGGGCCUCUUGCCAUCGGAUGUGCCCAGAUGGGAUUAGCUAGUAGGUGGGGUAACGGCUCACCUAGGCGACGAUCCCCAGCUGGUCUGAGAGGAUGACCAGCCACACUGGAACUGAGACACGGUCCAG